CGCAUCUACUUUUAUAUAUAUAUUGAAAAUUGUAAAAGCCAAAAGGCAUAAAAAGGUUUGCUUCCACAAUGAAAAAGUACAAACAAAUAGCAGUGGAAAAGUAAACAAAUACCACAGAAAAUCAUGGUCACUUAACACAAAAGGCCAAGCAGGAGGCAGUUUGGGGUACAGAUCAUCAGAUCAAGUCAUGUGAUCUCUUUUACGCUAAACAGCCAGCCCCCACCCUUCCAAAGUAGAAAAGAACGUAAAUAGUCUCAAUGAGAAAGACCAGCAAAAAUUGCAUCAGCGCUUAUUUUCUAGCUUCUACAACAUAAACGGAGUAAGACACUAGUUCUUCUCGGAUAUAAAUACAAACUAACAUUAACAUCCAUGUCCUUGGCAUGUAUCGAUGUUCAGCAUUACUCCCAUGAAUAAUUCUCAGACAAGCAGAUCAUAAUGGUUCUUACCACUGUACAGUAGCCUCACAACUUUCCUUGGUUUCCCAUUUCUUGAGCCCCUGCGAAACUCUCUUCCAUAUUCUGCAAUGGGAAUAAAGCCAGAGCCCCAUCCACCCCCAUGCUCAUGCUCUGGUAUAUAGACAAUAACUGGCUGAUUGCAUAAUUUAGAUAACACCAAUAGCUCUGAUUCUCCUCCCCAAAAAUCAGGACGCCCAAUGCGUUGACAGUAACGUUUCAAAGACUCAUCUACCGUAACUGCAAUCACUGCUUCUUCAUACAGCUGCCGUUCCUUAUCACUAUCACACAUAACCUCUUUCACAGCCAUUCGUAGGUCAUCUGCGUCAACUCUCUCUUCACGUGGAUUAAGAGAGAUACCCUUAUUGAAAGCCAUUCCUUUGGCCUGAUUUCAUCAAUAAAAAUUUACAGGCAACAAUAUCAUAUUGUUGAGGCACUCAUCACUAAAUAGCAAUACUUCUGCAUAAGCUAUUUACAGAAUUUAAACAGAAAGAUGAUGCUAUGAAGCUUUCAGAAGAGGUAGUAGUCCCACAUAAUUAUGAGGUGAUGAUAAUUUAACCCAACCAGGCUUUCAAAAGUCUAACUAAUAAUCAGAUAUAUGCUAUAAAUAAAAUUUUGGUCACGAUUGUAUGCAUAAGACUGAACAAGCUGUGCUGACUGCUAUGAGAUAGGUUGUGCUAGUAGUUUUCCAGACUAGAGAAAAGGAAACUAAAGUUUGCUUCCAUAUAUAUUGCUUGUUAGUCUUCUUUUUACAUUUGUGUUUGUUUGAUUGCAGACUUCAGCCCCAAUAGAUAAUUUUCAUUGUUCAGUUUCUUCGCUAAUUUGGAUAUAAUCCCAAGUCCAAGGCUCCAAUCCAUAAUUCAACAUUCUUGCAGAUAAACAAAACAAUAGCUUAAUCUGCUUGUUGAAAUAUUCAAAUCCCAACAGAUAGUAGGAUAAAACUAAAGCUAGCCGAAUGCCAUCCGAAGCAAAAAGGUCAGAGAAAAAAGCGACCAAAUAAUACCAGUGCACGAAAUAGACACCGGCCAUCCCCAGUAACUUUCUGAACUGAAUAGUGCUCAACGUUUUUUGAUGCCGGUGAUCCCUUACCUCUAAUCAAAACAAAACCAUUUAGAUGACUCAUUGAAAUGGAAAGUUAUAUUACCUUAAUAAUUAGAAAAAAAAAAAGAACCCAAGCCGCUUACAAAGGUCUUUCAAUGCGUUCAAAAAAUAUGAGGGAAAAAAAAGGGAAAAACUCACAGCGACGGUCCAAUUCUCGCAAAGAACCGAUGGUUAUUGUCUGCGAAGAGGGGCACGGGACAUGAGUAAGUUUUCGAAGUUGAGAUGGAAGGAACCGGUGAAGAGACAAGCUCGAAUUGGGCGAUUCCAUGUUUGAGUUGCUCAAGGAUACUCUCUGCAUAACGCUACAUACACUCACUGAACUACACAGACUCGUGGAAUACAUGAGAAAGUAGAUACGCAAUAAGACUAUAUGAAUACAAAUUCUAAUUUCGAAUUAUUGUUUCAGGACUACACAUGUCGUUCUGUUUCGUAGCCGAGAGAGUGAAGAGAAGAAUGGAGUAAUCAAAUCAUAAAUCAGAAAAAUUCUCUCCUCUAAUUAAGAAAGCGAAAAAGAAGAACUCGUGGGAAGCUUAAGUAUACCGUUCCCAAGCUUUGUCGCCAUGAAUUGUACUGAACCGAGGAUGAAUAGCAGACACGAAAAUCAUGACGGCUGAUAAAGAAUGCAAGAACAACGAUUAUAACAAUUCCGUUGUAGUCUAGUCGGUCAGGAUACUCGGCUCUCACCCGAGAGACCCGGGUUCGAUUCCCGGCA
rnacentral:misc_RNA from 1 species